ensembl:lncRNA
CAGCAGUAAAAGCUGCAGCCGGAGCGUGGUGGCAUCCUGCUGCAGCCCGCUGGCAUGCACAGGACAAACCGCUGCAGCCUGCUGGCAUGCACAGGAUAAACCGCUGCAGCCCGCUGGCAUGCAGAGGACAAACCGCUGCAGCCUGCUGGCAUGCACAGGACAAACCGCUGCAGCCCGCUGGCAUGCAGAGGACAAACCGCUGCAGCCCGCUGGCAUGCAGAGGACAAACCGCUGCAGCCCGCUGGCAUGCACAGGAUAAACCGCUGCAGCCCGCUGGCAUGCACAGGAUAAACCGCUGCAGCCCGCUGGCAUGCAGAGGACAAACCGCUGCAGCCCGCUGGCAUGCACAGGAUAAACCGCUGCAGCCCGCUGGCAUGCACAGGACAAACCGUUGCAGCCCGCUGGCAUGCACAGGACAAACCGCUGCAGCAAACUGGCAUGCAGAGGACAAACUGCUGCAGCCCGCUGGCAUGCAGAGGACAAACCGCUGCAACCCACUGGCAUGCAGAGGACAAACUGCCGCAGCCCGCUGGCAUGCAGAGGACAAACUGCCGCAGCCCGCUGGCAUGCAGAGGACAAACCGCUGCAGCAAACUGGCAUGCACAGGACAAACCGCUGCAGCCCGCUGGCAUGCAGAGGACAAACCGCUGCAGCCCGCUGGCAUGCAGAGGACAAACCGCUGCAGCAAACUGGCAUGCAGAGGACAAACCGCUGCAACCCACUGGCAUGCACAGGACAAACCGCUGCAGCCCGCUGGCAUGCAGAGGUCAAACCGCUGCAGCUUGGUCCUGCCGCUCGCCUCAUCAUUCAGGUGUGAAAGUCAGCCGCCGCUCCAGCUGCUGCUCCUCUGCACGGGGAAUUUAUUCAGCAGCCAGACGAUGCAGAGUUUCACAUCAGGAUCACGGAGCCUCUGGCAACGUGUGAGAUGUUAGUGCUGCUGCAAAUUAACCCUCACAGCAGCUUCCUCUCUGCUCCCGUCACAUUUUUACUCACCAUCGGCUCAUUUUUCUCUGCAAUAUAAAACCUGCACCUCCAUGGAAACAGAACAACCAGGACUAGAAGCAGAGAAGACUCAGGAACAUCUUCAGUAAUGUAUUAGACGGAUAUAACCACAUAAAUCAGAGCAGAAGCUGAAUUUGUUUGAACAUUUAAUAACAUUUAAAAAAAAAUAGAAUCAACAUGAACAGAAUUUUUCCAAGUUGUAAAAACUGUUACCAGCUCUGGAGGAAAAAAAGGUCCUUAACCCUCGUGUCAUCCUGCGGGUCAAAUUAACCCAUUUUAAAGUUUGAAAACGUGGGGGAAAAAAUAUAUAUAUUCACAGUGAAACUUCUGAUGUCCACAUUUUCAACAUUUUUGGGAAAUCUCUGAACAUUUUUUGGUGG